AUUGAACGCUGGCGGCAUGCCUUACACAUGCAAGUCGAACGGCAGCAUGGAAGAGCUUGCUCUUCUGAUGGCGAGUGGCGAACGGGUGAGUAAAGCAUCGGAACGUACCGUGUAGUGGGGGAUAACGUAGCGAAAGUUACGCUAAUACCGCAUACGCACUGAGGUGGAAAAGCAGGGGAUCGCAAGACCUUGCGCUAUACGAGCGGCCGAUGUCAGAUUAGCUAGUUGGUAGGGUAAAGGCCUACCAAGGCGACGAUCUGUAGCGGGUCUGAGAGGAUGAUCCGCCACACUGGGACUGAGACACGGCCCAGACUCCUACGGGAGGCAGCAGUGGGGAAUUUUGGACAAUGGGCGAAAGCCUGAUCCAGCCAUGCCGCGUGAGUGAAGAAGGCCUCGGUGUAAG
rnacentral:rRNA from 1 species